GCGUUUCCACCGCUUCGUGCCUCCGCAUUGCUAGUUCCUUGGGCGCCGCCUCGCAUCGUGCUCUGACUCGCUCCGCAUCAGGCAUCUGUUCCGCUGCUGUGAGCUCUGCUUUGGCAUGGACUCCAUGCCCAGGCUUCUUCGCGUUCGUGGCCGCAAGAAUACGGAGUCCACUGGACCCUAAGGUACGCACUAAUCUUUGAUCCUCUCCGAGACUCUGCUGAUCAAAUUGGUGAUUGGGUCUGCCGGUCUGGUAAUCGAGUUCAUCGAUUCGUGGAUGUGGUGACUCUAGCGUGGUUGUGCUGCAAACCGAGGAGAGGCUCCGAGCGCGGCAACAUCAAGGAUGGCGACGCGCACGACGCGGAAGCGAUCAGCCGAUCACACGAGGGACGAGCUCGGCGGCGCAGCUGUGAACUUCAUCGCUGCCGCUGAGGCAGCCGUACCGCAGUUCGCAGGCAGCCGCCGCUCGCCGCGAUGGUGUGGCCUUUUACAUCCAGGAGUCGGACGACGGAAGGAUAACGUGCAACUUAACGGAAUGGCAUCCGAGGGAUGAAAAUGCAAUUUCUGAUGGCAACGAAAGGAUGGCUAAACUUUGGACGGUACAUGGAGGAUGGCUAUAAUUUUGGAUGGCAUACAUGUAAUUUUCUCAAAAACUUGCCAAGCACCUUGAGACAAAGGAGUACUGCUCCCGGUCCCAGGAGGCCAGGACUGCAUACACACAAGUCACUUUGGGCAACUCAUGUCAUGUGUC
rnacentral:lncRNA from 1 species